GCCUAGCUUGCUGGGUGGAUGAGUGGCGAACGGGUGAGUAACACGUGAGUAACCUGCCCCCUUCUUUGGGAUAACGCCCGGAAACGGGUGCUAAUACUGGAUAUUCACUGAUCUUCGCAUGGGGGUUGGUGGAAAGGUUUUUUCUGGUGGGGGAUGGGCUCGCGGCCUAUCAGCUUGUUGGUGGGGUGAUGGCCUACCAAGGCUUUGACGGGUAGCCGGCCUGAGAGGGUGACCGGUCACAUUGGGACUGAGAUACGGCCCAGACUCCUACGGGAGGCAGCAGUGGGGAAUAUUGCACAAUGGGCGAAAGCCUGAUGCAGCGACGCCGCGUGAGGGAUGGAGGCCUUCGGGUUGUAAACCUCUUUCGCUCAUGGUCAAGCCGCAACACUGGUUGUGGUGAGGGUAGUGGGUAAAGAAGCGCCGGCUAACUACGUGCCAGCAGCCGCGGUAAUACGUAGGGCGCGAGCGUUGUCCGGAAUUAUUGGGCGUAAAGGGCUUGUAGGCGGUUGGUCGCGUCUGCCGUGAAAUCCUCUGGCUUAACUGGGGGCGUGCGGUGGGUACGGGCUGACUUGAGUGCGGUAGGGGAGACUGGAACUCCUGGUGUAGCGGUGGAAUGCGC
rnacentral:rRNA from 1 species